rnacentral:rRNA from 1 species
UACGAAGGGGGCUAGCGUUGUUCGGAAUCACUGGGCGUAAAGCGCACGCAGGCGGAUCGUUAAGUCGGGGGUGAAAUCCCGAGGCUCAACCUCGGAAUUGCCUUCGAUACUGGCGAUCUUUGAGUCCGGGAGAGGUGAGUGGAACUCCGAGUGUAGAGGUGAAAUUCGUAGAUAUUCGGAAGAACACCAGUGGCGAAGGCGGCUCACUGGCCCGGUACUGACGCUCAGGUGCGAAAGCGUGGGGAGCAAACAGG